GACGAACGCUGGCGGCGUGCUUAACACAUGCAAGUCGAACGGAAAGGCCUCUUUCGGGGGGUACUCGAGUGGCGAACGGGUGAGUAACACGUGAGUAACCUGCCCUUGACUUUGGGAUAACUUCAGGAAACUGGGGCUAAUACCGGAUAGGAGCUCCUGCUGCCUGGUGGGGGUUGGAAAGUUUCGGCGGUUGGGGGUGGACUCGCGGCUUAUCAGCUUGUUGUUGGGGUAGUGGCUUACCAAGGCUUUGACGGGUAGCCGGCCUGAGAGGGUGACCGGCCACAUUGGGACUGAGAUACGGCCCAGACUCCUACGGGUGGCAGCAGUGGGGAAUAUUGCACAAUGGGUGGAAGCCUGAUGCAGCAACGCCGUGUGCGGGAUGACGGCCUUCGGGUUGUAAACCGCUUUCGCUCAUGACGAAGCUUUGUGUGACGGUAGUGGGCAAAGAAGCACCGGCUAACUACGUG
rnacentral:rRNA from 1 species